rnacentral:rRNA from 1 species
GACGAACGCUGGCGGCGUGCCUAACACAUGCAAGUCGAGCGAGUGGAUUUCCUUCGGGAGAGAAGCUAGCGGCGGACGGGUGAGUAACACGUGGGCAACCUGACUCAUAGAGGGGAAUCGCCUCCCGAAAGGGAGACUAAUACCGCGUAAGAUUGUAGCUUCGCAUGAAGUAGCAAUUAAAGGAGCAAUCCGCUAUGAGAUGGGCCCGCGGCGCAUUAGCUAGUUGGCGAGGUAACGGCUCACCAAGGCGACGAUGCGUAGCCGACCUGAGAGGGUGAUCGGCCACAUUGGGACUGAGACACGGCCCAGACUCCUACGGGAGGCAGCAGUGGGGAAUAUUGCACAAUGGGGGAAACCCUGACGCAGCAACGCCGCGUGAGUGAUGACGGCCUUCGGGUUGUAAAGCUCUGUCUUCAGGGACGAUAAUGACGGUACCUGAGGAGGAAGCCACGGCUAACUACGUGCCAGCCGCCGCCGUAA